GGAGGCGUCGCAUAGUGGUUUAUCGCACUGGUUUUGAAAACCAGCGUCCGAAAGGACUCGGAGGUUCGAAUCCUCCCGCCUCCG
rnacentral:tRNA from 1 species